rnacentral:tRNA from 1 species
GGUGGCUCAGUGGUAGAGUGCCUGCCUUGCAAGCAUGGAGGCCCUGGGUUCGAUUCCUUAGCACCA